AUUGAACGCUGGCGGCAUGCCUUACACAUGCAAGUCGAACGGUAACGGGCCUUCGGGUGCCGACGAGUGGCGAACGGGAGAGUAAUACAUCGGAACGUGCCCGAUCGUGGGGGAUAACGAGGCGAAAGCUGUGCUAAUACCGCAUACGAGCUACGGAUGAAAGCAGGGGACCGCAAGGCCUUGCGCGGACGGAGCGGCCGAUGGCAGAUUAGGGAGUUGGUGGGAUAAAAGCUUACCAAGCCGACGCUCUGUAGCUGGUCUGAGAGGAUGAUCAGCCACACUGGGACUGAGACACGGCCCAGACUCCUACGGGAGGCAGCAGUGGGGAAUUUUGGACAAUGGGCGCAAGCCUGAUCCAGCCAUGCCGCGUGCAGGAUGAAGGCCUUCGGGUUGUAAACUGCUUUUGUACGGAACGAAAAGCCUUCUUUUAAUACAGGAGGGUCAUGACGGUACCGUAAGAAUAAGCACCGGCUAACUACGUG
rnacentral:rRNA from 1 species